UGGGGAAUUUUGGACAAUGGGCGCAAGCCUGAUCCAGCCAUGCCGCGUGCAGGAUGAAGGCCUUCGGGUUGUAAACCGCUUUUGUACGGAACGAAAAGGUGCCUUCUAAUAAAGGGCGCUCAUGACGGUACCGUAAGAAUAAGCACCGGCUAACUACGUGCCAGCAGCCGCGGUAAUACGUAGGGUGCGAGCGUUAAUCGGAAUUACUGGGCGUAAAGCGUGCGCAGGCGGUUUUGUAAGACAGAGGUGAAAUCCCCGGGCUCAACCUGGGAACUGCCUUUGUGACUGCAAGGCUGGAGUGCGGCAGAGGGGGAUGGAAUUCCGCGUGUAGCAGUGAAAUGCGUAGAUAUGCGGAGGAACACCGAUGGCGAAGGCAAUCCCCUGGGCCUGCACUGACGCUCAUGCACGAAAGCGUGGGGAGCAAACA
rnacentral:rRNA from 1 species